rnacentral:rRNA from 1 species
UACGAAGGGGGCGAGCGUUGUUCGGAUUUACUGGGCGUAAAGGGCGCGCAGGCGGCUCAUUUUGUCAGGCGUGAAAGCCCCGGGCUUAACCUGGGAACUGCGUUUGAUACGGAUGGGCUAGAGUUCGGGAGAGGAGAGUGGAAUUCCCAGUGUAGAGGUGAAAUUCGUAGAUAUUGGGAAGAACACCGAUGGCGAAGGCAGCCAUCUGGACCGACACUGACGCUGAGGCGCGAAAGCGUGGGGAGCAAACAGG